CACAAAUUGUGUUUAUAACUACUCUACAGAACCCGACACCUGGAAACUGGAGCUGUUUGCGUCUAUUAACCUCCCCUGUCUCCUUCCAGACAAGGACGGGCCUGAUGACCCUUUUGCAAUCCUCCUGAAGUGAUUGAAGGAACAGCAGGAACAGAAGGUGGCACAGACAAAGACAGGAAAGGAAAGUGAAGAGAAAAACAACAGCAUAAAAAUGACAUAGAUGAAUACGCAAAAUAUUUCUCUUCUGAAUACAGUGCAUAGCUGCAAGGAUGUGUGGUGGAUCACAAGGGAUUGAAGAGGCAGGAUAAUGAAGUCCAUUUGAGGAGCAACAUUGUGCAUGUUUAAUCAAUAAUACACGGACUAAACCUUUGGAGUCUGUGCGUCACAAAGCCAGUGAUACUGGAUAGAGUCUCAAUAAUCCCUGAGAGAGCUCUGCACUCAGUAACGUGUUGUGAUCCUGAUUUACUGAACCCUUCAGUCCCUUUGCAUAUUGAAAUUUGGAGCUACAAUAACAAUAGUCUGAACUUGUAAAUGAGCAGUCCGAGCCUCCUCUGCAGUGCCCAGAAAAUGGGUGUCUUUUAUUUGAUCUUCAGUGCAAGUGUGACAUCAGCCAUCAGUGACUGCCUCACAGUUGGAUUCACAAAUAUGCGAACAGAGUUGGCCACCACUUCCAUGGUGGAAGGAAUGAGCUGUAGGCUCCUCAUGAAGCCCAAUGCCAAGUCCCUGCUGCUUUCAUCCAUGUUUUUUGACAAUGCAUUAAGAUUGUCUGACAGGCCUGCCGAUCUGUCAUUAUGCAUGCUACCAUCAAACUUCUCAGCUGAACCCUCCGCCGUGAAAAUCAAGUGAAACCUCACCCUCCAACGAGCUGACACCCAUUCCCUCUACUCUGACUACAGACCACUUGCUGUCAGUGAGUCACCACAUGCAGAACUCACCUCCAUGUUAUCCUUUAAGUUAUGCACAGCAUCAGUGUCUGAACUAAUUGUUGCAACUGUGAAGUGGAUGACUAUGUGUCCUUAUCUUCACCCUCUUUUUGCCCUUCCACCAUUGUCUGGCUCGGUUGUUCUUGGCUGAAAAAGGAAAGACACUCAUGUGAGACUGUGGCAAGUGAAAGGCAGACAUAAGUUAUCCAAGUUUACAUAUCUUCAGCAAUGGACCACUACGGACCACCCUUUGCACUACCGUGGACUUGUUUCUGAUUGUGUUUUUGCACUGAUGUCUUGUUUUGCCCAAUCUUUUUCUUCACUGCCUUGUAUAAUUUGUGUACAAUUUAUGUAUAAUUUAUUUUGUGUGUUGUCUGCAUCUAAGUCCCUGUGAUGCUGCUGUAAGCAAGUUUUUCAUUGUACCUGCACCUUACUG